CAUAGAUGACCAAGGACCUUUGCACAUUGCUGUAUAUGAUAUUAUACAACAUGAGUUUUCAAGAUAUAAUUGAAGCCUGUAAGAAGGAAGUAUCACGAUUAGAAUCAUCAAGUACUCUUGGCAAGAUUAAUUACUACUGCAGGACAGGGAAGGAUAAUUGUUGGACGAUGAUAGACCCUGAAAAAUGGAUGAGAGAGAUUUAUGCUAACUCAAUAGUUGCUGUUAUUAACUGAUUGGAAGCAAUUGACGUUUCAAGCGACCUUUAACGUGCGUUACAAAGUAACCAGUUUACCGGCGGACAAGCUAAUCCAUGAAAUCGUAAUGACUAUGAUAAUGAUGAUUUCUAGUUUGUCGGGCCACUAAUGGUCGCGCUACCUUCACUUGGGCUACUAAUGAACGUUGCAAAAGGAGAGUAAUCGAGGAAACUACUGCAUUUUUCCUCUCCUUUUUUUCUUUCUUUUUUAAUUUCACAAAGCAAAAGUGAAAAUUCCUCACCGGCGUUGAAAGUUAAAAUUCAAACGUUGAAAUUGGAAAAAGAAAGGAAAAGGGGAAAAAAUUCGUUCGCUUGACACGGUGUUGCGAAUGGAAUGUUUGCAUAAUUCCUGGCAUAUAACAGAAUCAGGAAGAGUUGGAUUUACGAGAAGGGGAAAGGAAUCGUUGCACAGCCAGCUUGCAUAAUCGUGUGUGCACAGGUUGCAUCAGGAAAUGCAUCGGAUAGUUUUUAUCUAUGCCAAUUAAACUUUUAUUUCGACUAUCUCUGGCAAAAUAAUUUUAGUUUAUCCUUGGAUGGCUAGAGCUGCUUCGCUUUUCGCUCAUGCGAUCAAUACACUUCUCUUACUUUCUUUGCUACAUUUAUUAUUGCUAUUCUCCUGGUUUUCUUAAGUUUGAUGAAUGACAUAUAAGGGCGACAAGUUGAAGCUUCUUCAUGAUAAAGGUUCUCCUCUGAACUAAAUUCCUUUAAACUUUGAUCAAAAAUUGACAAUUGUGGCUUCUUCUUAAAGAAAUUACAUCGCCCUUUUAAGUGCCAUCUAAAUGAAUCUGUAUCCUCAACAUUCUGUCAUAUUUCUUUUCUUCAGAACCAAUUUACAGUCAGAACCAUGUCUGUCGUUCUUUCACUGUGUUCUAAUUGUAAAUCGUGUCAGAUAGUCCGAUUGGAGAGCACCGUUAGUCCAUAUAAAAUAAUAUUAAUAAAAUCAUAUGCAGUAGGAGGGACAUUGGUGCUUACCAUUUUUACCAUUUCAGAUUGAGAAAUCGCAUCUCUGGUCAGAAUGCUGUUGCUAUAGGUUCCAUGUACAGUUAACGUUCUAUGUGUGCAAGAUAAUCAGCAGGGAUUGUUAUCUGGACUGAGGUAAUAAAGUUUGCGUGGAAGCUGUCACGUUUGGUCCACGUGUUGGUAAUCGUUCCUCCUUCAGACACUUUAGACGGAUAAGAGAGAGAGCACGGUUCUCUUGGAAAAAGCGCUUGGAAUGCUAUUUGGAACGAUGGAGAUUGGUUCGUCUGACGGAUUUCAGAUAAUUACGUGGGUGAACUUGUGGAAUGUUUCAAUACCAACCUACGUUCGAUAGAAUCUUAUAGAAACAAGGAUGGAUCUGUUGGUAGAAAACGGCUGCUUCUAGAAUCUCCAUAAACGCAGCAAUUGCAACAAGAAGGUUUGAAUAAAUUGUAGACCCGCGAUUCUAUGGUGUACGUGUGAUAAGCUUUUUUCUUUAAAUGACGGAUAUUGAAAGAUGGUUUUUCCGAUUGAAGAGAAAGCCACCAGAUCCAAUGGCUGAUAUGUCUAAUCCGAUGUGACGAAGUUGAGAGACGUCUGACAAUUCUGGAUCAAUAUCAGUCGUUCCACUUUCUAUUUAAUAAUAGAGUCCAGCCAGCGUAGAUAAUUUUAUUAUCUUUAAAAAAGCCAUUUACUUUGGCGAAUUAUCCUGCGGAAUGGCUAGGUAGCUCUGAUCGUCCCAUGCAAAAUGAUCGUAAUAAGGUGAACCAGAGAUGAUUGACUUGAUUAACAUUCCUGUUGCUCGUGCGUCCAAGUACAGUCAGGUAAAAUCUUCUGAAAUUCCAAGUUAUUCGCCUCUUGUUCAGACUAGUAAAUCUUGCUGUUCUAGUUAGCUUGCCCAUCCAGUCCCAUGUCGUUAGUUAUCGAGGGACCUGCCUGUAGGGACGAGACACGGCGGGACUGAAAAGAGAGCAAAGAUGGAAUCUGGACGUAUUUAUGAUGCUCCCGUGAUUAGUGCAUCUCCUCCUACCUUGUCUCGCUUCUCUUUUUACCUCGUUUCGUCCUUUGCUGUCCUUUGCUCGUUUCCACUUACUGAUUCUAGUUCUGAUGGAUCGUCUUUCGGUUCUGUUCCAAUCCCAUUUUCUCUUCCCCUGUUUUCUUUUUUCUUUUCGUAUUUCUGAACAUUAAUCUAUGAUAGUAUCCUUGACUCGUAAAACUUUAGGCUUGCACCUGUCGUGGUUCCGAGAGUUUGAAGAUUUGGAGGGCUGGUAGCCUGGAAGAUUCUGAAACUUAACAGCGUGGGAGAUCGGAAAUUUGAAAGUCUGAAAAUUCGGCAAUUUAGGGGCCUGGAAGUCUGAACAUUUGGUAAUUCGGGAGUCUGAAAAUACGCAAGCGCGGAACUUUAAAUGUCCAAAGCUUGGACAUUUGGUAAUUUUGGGGAUUGAAAAUCUAGAAACUUGACUUGUACUUCAGUGCCUGAGAAUUUAGGGAUUUGAAAGCUUGAAAGUUCGUAAAUCUGAUGGAUCAUUGAUUUAGAUCUUAUAAAUGUCUGAAAGGCUGAAGAUUUGGAGAUUUGAAAGUCCAGAAGCUUGGAAAUUUGGGAACUGUAGACUUAACGUUUGGAAAUUUGGAUACUUCAAUGUCUCCAAAGGGAUUUCAGAGAAUUAAAUGUCUGAAAAUUCGUCAAUUCGAUGGUCUAAAGGUCUGAAAGUUUGAAGAUCUGGAAAUUUAAAAGUUGGGAAGCUUGAAAAUGCAGAAACGUUAAGUACUGGAAAUUUGGAGAUUUGGAUACUUCAUAGUCUGAAAGUUCGAAGGUUUAAAAGUCUGAAAGCUCGUAAAUUUGAUGGUCUACAUGUCUGAAAGCUUGGACGUAUGAAGGUUAGAAAAUCUUGGAACUAUAAAAGUCAGAAAAUCUGAAACUAUAAAAGUCAGAAAAUCUGGAACUAUAAAAGUCAGAAAAUCUGGAAAUCUUGUUUUCCAAAUUUUCAUACAAUUCUCACUUAUACGAUUCACUAUCGUAAUACGUACCACCCAUGUAUCACCUUCGCUCUCUGAAUAAUUUUCUACAGUUUCAAUCUUGAGUCCUAAAACCUUGGUUCUUCCUAUGGCCGAUCCUCGCCGGUAGUCCUUGUACUCCAUGACGAUCUCGUUGCUCUUCUUCUAAUGCGUGAGACAGGCAUGUAGCUUGCGACUGUGUGUGCGUGUAAUGCGCGCGCGUGAGGUAGAAGAGCAGCCUCCGGAGAAGCUCUCUCCGAGGAGGUCGCGAGCAAGGCCAUUUGGGGCGUUGCCCUCCUGAGCUCGAUCUCGAGCUUACAUAUGGCCGGUUAUCCACACGUCGAGCACUCGUUCAGCAUCGAUCUACUGGGUGUCUUGAUUCGAUCCUCGCCUAUAUUUCUUCGAAAAUAACAUGUCAAAUACGUAUAUCCGCCUUGUGACACAGUUUCCUAGUUAGCUGUUUUUGACGAGUAUACUCGUCAUGAAGAAAUGGCAAUAUUUCGUGCUACGACGAGUAUACUCGUCAUGCGUAAAAAGUAGUUACAAUUUGCUGUUCAAAUUGCAAGUCUAGCGGAAACUAAAGUAUAUUUGUCAAUCUUAAGAUCUUUUGAACAUUUGGAGGCCAAGACCAAAGAAUAAAAAAGCAGCAAAUAAAAAAAUGGAUAAUUAAGUGAAAGUGUUACUUAUUGAUACUACUUAUGCUAGUUGUAAAAGAAUGGCAUCGACUUUUUGUCAAAAAAAUCUCCACUUGCUACUUAAAAAGGAAUUAAAAGUGAAUUAAAAAUUCCAACGUUCAGAUUCAACUGUGAGCAAACUAUGCACACGCUUGGGCAUCACAGCUUAAAAACUUAGGGUACUGCUAUUUCAGAAUUUAUGCCUUUGUCGGUGAAUUUUAAUGAUGGGGUCGGAAUUCAGCUCGUGCAACGUGAGCAGGCAAUAAUCUUAUUGGAGUACAGAGUGAGUACAGAGACUAUAAUCCGAAGGUUAGGAGCAACGCAUUAAGAAUACUGAUUUGUCUGGGAUUAAUGUUAAUGAGGCGUGUAGGUGCCAUUGUUUGGUUACUAAGAUAUUUAUAGAUGACGAUUGUUUUAUCCUACGUAACUGUGCUGCUGACAACCUUGUUACAUGAACUCAGCGAUUAAUAUAUGUUCACCGUGAACUUAGUAAUUUUCUACGUUGGAAGAUCAUGACUUUAGCAUAUUGAAUCACACAGCAGGAGCAACCACUAUAUCGAAUAAAUAACGUUACAUAGAUCAGACAUUCUGGCGUUAGAAUGAAAUUCUAAAUAGAAAGGGUUUGUCUCUAAAUUUUAGUGUCCCAAUUAGGCGACUGCCUUCUUUGUUAAUAAAUCCGUAGUAGUGGAAAUUUGGUCAGUUAAUUAAACGAGUCUCUCUAAUUGCAUUAAAUAUUUGGUCUUUUGAACAAUCGAGGAAAUUAAAUGAAACUUAGGGGCACCUCUUAAAUCUUAAUGUCCUGAACGCGGACCUAAAUUGUAGACACAAGAAAUAACUUUUAGCUCCUUCCAUGGAACAGUAACUAGGUUUGCUCAUCGAAUCAGAUGAAUCUCUUUAAUUGCAUUGGACAUUUAAUCAUCUGAACAAUUGAUGAAGUUGAAGGAAACUUAGGGGGGUUUCUUGAAUCCUAAUGUCCUGACCUAAAUGAUAGACACAAGAAAUACCUUUCAACUUCUUCCAUGGAACAGUAACGAGCUUUGCUGAUGGAAUCAAAUGAAUCUCUUUAAUUGCAUUAGAUAUUUGGUCUUUUGAACAAUUGAGGAAAUUAAAUGAAACUUAAGGGCACCUCUUAAAUCCUAAUGUCCUGAGCACAGACCUAAAUUGUAGACACAAGAAAUAACUUUUAGCUCCUUCCAUGGAACAGUAACUAGCUUUGCUCAUCGAAUCAGAUGAAUCUCUUUAAUUGUAUUGGACAUUUAAUCAACUGAACAAUUGAUGAAGUUGAAGGAAACUUAGGGGGGUUUCUUGGAUCCUAAUGUCCUGACCUAAAUGAUAGACACAAGAAAUACCUUUCAACUUCUUCCAUGGAACAGUAACGAGCUUUGCUGAUGGAAUCAAAUGAAUCUCUUUAAUUGCAUUAGAUAUUUGGUCUUUUGAACAAUUGAGAAAAUUAAAUGAAACUUAGGGACAUCUCUUAAAUCCUAAUGUCCUGAGCACAAAUGUAAGUGGCAGACACAAAGUAAACUUCAAUUCUUGCCAACUGUCUUUGGAAUAAUACCACGAUUAAGAUCAACUAAAAGCAAUGUCAGAACUGAGAAUUCUUAACAAAAGACUCGACCAGAAGACUCUGGCUCUCGAUUAUCUGGCUUCUUUUCGCCACCUCCUUGAUCUGGACUUGGAAAGUCUUCCUUGAGAAACGCUCCUGCACAAUUGUGCCCGAGUUCCCAGAGGUGAGAACAGCCUGUGACGGGGAUCGAGUUUCUUGGUGGAAGUUGUGCAAGUGUAUUACCGUCUUCUUGAAACAAUAGCUGCUGCUCCUUCGCUCGCACAGGUUUAUUAAACUAGGAACAGAAAUUAAAUACCGAACUGUGGACGUCUCUCUGCCUGUUAAUACCGUCCCAGUAUCGCUCAUGGCGAAGAUCAAAGGCAGGAAGAUUGCACUCUCUUGCAGAAAUAAUUCCUCCGCUACGUUUCUUCCCAUCCUACAAAGAGAUGGACCAACAGGUGGAUCAAGAAUAUUGGAUAUCUUGUAUAUCAGACGCAACAACGUUUCGCAACGUGUUACAUAGCUUAAGAGAAUUUAAAUAUAAUAACAGACUAAUAUCUUCGUCGUCGAUCUUUUAAUCCUUUGAUUAGCGACUGUGUGGAGAAAGGAAGCAAGUAUUUAUAGAGCUGAAAAUGUGAAGAAUUGGAAGUUUGAAGAGUAGAAAAAUGAAAACCUGAAAAUGAAAAUCUGAAAAAUUGAAAAUUCGCUAGUUCAAGUAUCCGGAGGAUUGGAAAUUAAAAAAACUGACAAUUUGUAAAAUUGUACAAUUUAAAAUUUGUAAGAGUGAAAGUUUGACAGAAUCGAAGGUUUGAAAGAUUGAAAAUUUAGAAAACUGGAAAUUUAAAAGACUAAGGAUGUGAACACAGCAAAAUAUGAAAUUAAAAUUUCCAGCAGCUUGGCGAUUCGAAAAUUCAUAUGGCUGUGAAUCUAACAGUUUGUAAGUUGGAAGGAAACUUAGAAAUCCGAAACCAACCAUUUGUAGCGCUGAAAGAUGAUCUUACGUGAUACGAAACGGCGUAUAAAAUUGUAAAUUCGAUUCGGUGUUGGUUGCAGGUUUAUGUUCAAUUGUAAUCAACGAGAGAAACGAACGGCUGGAUCGUUAUUAUUGAUUCACCUACUGCCGGGAGUUACAUAAAUCCAUGGGCGUACAUUUUAUUUUCUAUAAAACGUUUUCUGUUACUUUCGUUAAAAGAAGCCAACCAGAACGUGUUAGGAAGCGAGUGCCGACUUAUUUUUUACGCUCGAGGUGGUCAGAAUAUGUGCCAGGAAAUUACUUGGAAAUUGUAGAAAUUAACACGAUUCAACUAAGGCAAUCUAAUAUAAGCACAGUAGAGUGCCUAUAAGAAUAUUCCAACGUAGAAAAUUUGCAAAUGAAAAAUUCCAAUUAAUAUUUAGUAACUGAAAAUAUCUGGACAUAUUUUGUAGCAAGCGAUAACAUAAUGUCUAGAAGCCAAUAAUAAAAAUUUGAAAAUGAGAAAUUUGAAGAUGUAGAAAUUCAAGACAUUUGGUGACUAUAAAGAUAUUUGAGAAUUCUAAUACUUGGGAUUCGAAUAUUUAGGAGCUUUUAUAUUCGAGAGCAUUAAUAUUUGCGAACUCGAACUGCUAAUUCGGGAGCGUUGAUAUUUGGGCACUCUAAUAUUUGAGAGUUCUAAUAUUUAUGGACUAUAAUAUUUCAGAACUCUAACAUUCGUGAGCAUUAAUAUUUUAGAACUCUAAUAUUCGGGAUCGUUGAUAUUUGGGCACUCUAAUAUUUGGGAACUCUAAUAUUUGAGAGUUCUAAUACUUAGGGACUGUAAUAUUUCAGAACUCUAAUAUUCGGGAGCGCUGAUAUUUGGGCACUCUAAUAUUUGGGAACUUUAAUAUUUGCGAGUUCUAAUACUUAGGGACUGUAAUAUUUCAGAACUCUAACAUUCGUGAGCAUUAAUAUUUGAGAACUCUAAUAUUCGGGAGCGUUGAUAUUUGGACACUCUAAUAUUUGGGAACUCUAGUAUUUGAGAGUUCUAAUACUUAGACACUGUAAUAUUUCAGAACUCUAACAUUCGUGAUCAUUAAUAUUUGAGAACUCUAAUGUUCGGGAGCGUUGAUAUUUAGGCACUCUAAUAUCUGGGACCUCUAAUAUUUGAGAGUUCUAAUACUUAGAGACUGUAAUAUUUUAGAACUCUAACAUUCGUGAUGAUUAAUAUUUGAGAACUCAAUUAUUGGAGAGCAUUGACGUUUGGGAACUCUAAUAUUCGUGAGCAUUGGCAUUUGGCAGCUGUAAUAUUCGGGAAUAUUAACAUUAGAGAAUAUCGGGAAUAUUAAUGAGAGAACUCUAAUAUAUGGAAAUUCCAAUUGUUCGAUUAGGAUAAUAAAGAUGGUUGACUGAUUAUAAUACUGAAGUGACAGGUUAUAAUAUAUACUUUAUUCCAACAAUUUGGUAGAUAUAAAUAGUUACGCGUCGUGCGUAUAGACGUAUUUUCAGAGACGUGUAAAUAGUAAGUUACAACUGAUGACUGAUCAAAACAUUGACUGGUCUGGUCAAAAGAUGUUGACUGAUCUAAGGCCGAUAAACCAGUGAAGUUUGGUGACGAUGUUGUCGCAGAGGAAAACUAUUGCGAGGGGUUGCUCGCCCCACCACCUGAACAUGGAAAAAACCUGACCUUCCCAUUUUUUUACCUGAUUGGACAAUAACCAUAAGGAACGUCUCGAUUUGAGGAUCUUCCAUAACAAUUAAGGGCCUUAACGGUAAAAUAAAAAUGCUUAGUUUUAUGACAGUUCCUUAGGAUUAUUCUGCUUUAUGUAAAGGGUCACCGGACGUAACACCAAUAUUUGGCAGUCCCAAUAUUUUGGAAUUCUAAUACUUGGAAAGCCUAAUGUAUGGGGACUCGAGAAAUUUCACAUUAAUAAAUAAAUGCAGUGCUGCAUUAACAGAACGCCUUUAAUAGGAUAGAUGCUCGUAGAUAUCUUUAAUAUGAUGAUAAAUAAUUAAUCUGCUUACCUCGCAUAUCGUAAAAACAAAUGCAACGUAUCAGUUAUGUUAUACGUUUCACGCAAUACUAAUCAGAAUUGCUUAACAGACGCUGUACAUUACAUUAUAACAAAUCAGAUGCCACGAAACCGUGGCAAUUGCAACAGAAUAAUUGGCUGAUAAAAAUGUUAGCCUAACGGAGAGAAAAAGUGGCAGGAAUUAGUAUGGAGGAGACACAAAGCGCCACGAUCGCGUUAUAUAUAUCGUCCCUAAUGGCGUCAUUAAAUUAAACACCGUUAUUCGACGAAAUUACGUCCUCUUACGUCACGAAGCGACGAUUACGUCGACUUACAUGCUUCAACAAGUAACUUCGUGAAUGUUCGUAUUUCAUGCAGCGAUGGCCACUCGCGUUUCUUUCCUGCAAGAAAGUUUGUCGACGUUCAGUAAACCAGAUCCAGUUAAAUGUUAUUAGAAUGAGUAAUAUGGCCAACCAUUAGCGCUAAAAGUACUGCCUUCGAUGAAAAGGCACUGUAAUCUUACAAAGCGACGCUUAAGAAUUGAUUCCUGGUCAUUUUGAAUUAUUAGUGUCUUCAGGAAAAGUGGAUUUCGCCGUAAGUUCCUGUUCCAGGAUGACGGAUAUUGCGAGACAUGUCGAAAGGGGAAAUUUAAUUCCGUAAUUAAGCCCAAUGUUGGUAAAAUGUGAUGCCUGGAGCUUCGAGUAUUCAGAAGUUCGAAAUCGUAGAAAUUGGAUAGCCCGCGAAAGCGUUGGACAUUCGUCAGCUUGAAAGUUCGACGAAGCUCAUGAUCUGAAAGUUUGGAGAUUUAGUAGAAGCUUUUGAAGCUUGGAAAUUUGAAAAUUUGGAAUUCUGAAAGUUUGGGAAUUUGAGAAUCGGAAUGUCUAAAAAUUGGCAAGUCAUAAAAUUCGAAAGUUUUGGGAACUUUGAAAUCUUUGAAAUCUGAAAGUUUAGACAUUUGAAAGUAUUUGAGUAUUGAGUCUAAAGGUUUAGAAAGCUGUAAAAGUUUGGCGAAUUUGCGUUAUAUAACAUUGACGUUGUCAAAAAAGUAUGUAUCGUCACGACUUCGCAUCUUAAGACAGCAGUCGCUGAAGGGGGGAAAUGUAAUGACUAGAGUCUCAGAACGUACAAUCGUAUAGAUAUCACGAUUACAAUUACUCGAUGGCGGUGUAUGACAAAAAGGAAUCACAGCCGGGCCGUAUUGGCAAAGUGCAUCGCGUCCUCUUUGGAGUUACGCGUGUUGCGUAAUCGUACGUUAUGUAAUUUGCUCGUAAACGGUGGAAAGAUCGAAAAGGGAAAAAAGGCAAACGACGGAGAUCGAUCGAGAGAGGUCUUUGCUUGAGAAAUCUCCGGUGGGAAUUUUUUCCUUGGUAAUUACGAAUAAUAGCUUUCGUCGGUAUUUAACCUGGGUGUCAAACGGCCAUUUACUCCUUCCAAUAAAGACAAGAGAGGGUUGGACAGAAUUCCUUGUUCUAUAGAUUUUAUACAACAUUUAUCGAUUUCAGCUAAUGGUAUACAUAAAAAAACAAAAGAAAAAGAAAUUUAUUAGAAUGAGCCACAGGUGUGCGUAGGUCUUUAUUUUGCAUAAUGAUAGGAUGUUCCUGGCAUUAUCGAAAGAUAUACCUCUUGCAGAUUGCUUCACCAAUGCCUACUUUCUCUCUAUAGAACCUACAAUUAACAAAAAUUACGUUUGAUGUGUUUAUAAAAGAGAUAAUACCGGUUGAGUCUUGAUUAUUGUAACAGAACAUACAUAAAGCUUAUAUAAUCCAAGAAAGAAGAGUACAAAAGAACCAAUUCAUAGUCCUCCAUCUUUUGUGACCAACUUUAAUGAUUUGCACGUGUCUGGCAUGAUUAUCUACCAACUAUGUAUCAUGCAGACCGAAACAUGCUAAUUGUAAUAGAUUGUGCCGUCAGUCUUAUUAUUGAGCCAGCUGUUCUUUCAACCUUCAUAUGAUAUAUCCAAUACCAGCAUCGAGUAGACAAGUUAAAAGAUGGUCUAAAACCGUCAAUUUGUCUCUAACAGUAUUUUGUAUUGUGUGGUACAAUGGUAGUACAGUGUACCUGCUUAAAAGCCAGUUACAGGUUAGAUUUCCAAUUGCCGUUGUUAAAUUGUAAAAGUUGGGAUUCUCAGUGACCCAAUUAUGGAAACCGAGAUUCUGAGUAUUUUAACUGUUGGAGUUAACGACAAAAAAAACGCGAUAUUAUGUUAUCCGCUACAUAAUAUUUUUAAUUCUUAUCCACAACGUAGUUGUGUCAUUCGCAUUCCAGAGAUAAACAUGUUCUUUCGAAGGACAGAAGAACGAGCUUCCUGCUAAGAUAGUCUUCAGAGUUAACAUAUCGCGAACAUGUGCUCAUGCGCAUGUGGAAUCGAAGCGAUCACGGAUCGAUUACCGAGACGAGUAUCGACUUACGCCGGUCCUAUCGAUGCGGAACGUAAUUAAGUGGAAUGGAAAUAUUGCCACACUCGUAAAACAAAAAGAGAAAGAAAAAGAAAAAAUGGCGCGUGUCCAGUGAAAGACACGGACUUGCGAUUUGUGGCCUCGUCCCGAGAUCAACUUGAAACCGAUACCGUCGUGAAAUUCACUGCGAGAUCGAUCGUUACAAUGUAGGGAGAGUUUCUAUUACAGUCGGCCACCGAUCGAUUCGCGAUAACGAAUCUCAGCUUGACCUGUAGGAAAGUGAACGGUGGGAAAAUAUGUGGGAAAAUAGGCCGUCAUUAGUAUAGAAGUCUUCUCCAGUAGGGAACAAAUAACGCUAAGAGGCUCAAUGCGACUAAAGGGAUUCUCCUAAUUCCACGAUGGAUUCCAUCAUUGAUUAAAACUGAGACCUGACUUGCCUGAAUCAGGUUAGGUAGUCAACUAAUUAGAGCUGCCCCUUAUGUUCCUAAUUUUUUAUUAAAUUUCUCAAUUAGUCUAAUGCCUGAAUAUUUAACAUAUAUAUCGUGAGGAUCUUCAGUUAUAAUUAUUUUUAUAGGAAAUUUUAUCAGGCAGAUCUUCAGACGUAGGAAUACAUUUUUUUUAUCGCGCUAUAUGAAAAUAAGGUUUUGGUUAAUGUGAAUAAAUAUAGGAUUACAGUUUUAAAAGGU